UACGUAGGGUGCGAGCGUUAAUCGGAAUUACUGGGCGUAAAGUGUGCGCAGGCGGCAAGGCAAGUCGAGUGUGAAAGCCCCGGGCUUAACUUGGGAAUUGCGCUCGAAACUACUUUGCUGGAGUGUGGCAGAGGAAGGUGGAAUUCCACGUGUAGCGGUGAAAUGCGUAGAGAUGUGGAGGAACACCAAUGGCGAAGGCAGCCUUCUGGGCCUUACCUGACGCUCAGGUGCGAAAGCUAGGGGAGCGAACAGG
rnacentral:rRNA from 1 species